rnacentral:tRNA from 1 species
GCGGAUGUAGUUCAACGGUAGAAUGCGCGGUUGUGGUCCGUGUGACGAGGGUUCGACUCCCUCUUUCCGCCC